rnacentral:rRNA from 1 species
CUAAGAAUAUUCCGCAAUGGACGAAAGUCUGACGGAGCGACGCCGCGUGGAUGAUGAAGGCCGUGAGGUUGUAAAAUCCUUUUGUCGGGGAAGAAUAAGUCUGGGAGGGAAUGCCCGGAUGAUGACAUGAACCGGCGAAUAAGCCCCGGCUAACUACGUGCCAGCAGCCGCGGUAACACGUAGGGGGCAAGCGUUGUUCGGAAUUACUGGGCGUAAAGGGCACGUAGGCGGUCCUGUAAGCCUGACGUGAAAGGCUAUGGCUCAACCAUGGCAUUGCGUUGGGAACUGCGGGACUUGAAUCACGGAGAGGGAGCUGGAAUUCCAGGUGUAGGAGUGAAAUCCGUAGAUAUCUGGAGGAACACCAGUGGCGAAGGCGGCCACCUGGCCGACAACUGACGCUGA